UUCCCCGAAAGCAUCUUUAGCCUAAGUGGAUCGCAGAGUGGGUCGUAAGAGCAUCGUACAGUUUUCACACCGUUUCCCGAAAGCAUCUUUGAGCCUCGUUAGGCUACUAUAGCCUCAGUGGCGUAGCCAGCGGACAUUCCUAGUAUUGGAUGCGUUUUAUUAUAACACAUUGGUAAUGGUGUAUCACGUGCGUCUGAGCCUAAUGUGGGCCAUUAUGUUCUUAGUUUGAGAGAGACAGUCCAGGAAAUGUUUGAGCAGGCAGGGCACUUAAAAUGUGUGAGAGAAAGUGGGGGGGAUUUGUGCAGACUGACAUAGGCUACUCAUAAAACGUAGCAUAAAAUAAUGUAAAAAAAAAUAAAAAAUAAAAAAAUUAUAAAAAGAAAUAUUUUUUUUUAUAAAAAACAAGCAAAGGAGCAGGCAAAAGGCUGGGAUAUGGUGGGGAUUGGUCACGUUGACGGGAAUGUUUAGUGACAUGUGGGAGGGU